GCCCCAGAGCGAGGGCCACCUGCAGAGCCUUAGGGUUGCUGUGCUGGUUGAUAAAAGGGAUAAUGUGGCUUGGGUGGAAGGCUUUGGGAUGGUGUUUUUGGGUGGCAGAAAGCACCCAAAAAAGGAAGGCGCUUGGUUGGGUCUUCCCCAUGAGAUUGAUGUUUUGGGUCCUUGGCAGUAGCUAGACAAAGGAAGUCAAGACAUGGUGAAAUUACACACACAACCACUUGUGAAGAGGGGUGCUUCCCAUGUUCUAGUGAUGGCUGGGCCAUGCUGAAGGUGGUUUUCAUUCAGUUUCUCUUGCACUGCGGUUCUGACUGAUGUAGCCAAGGCUGAGCUUCGCCCUCUGAAUAAUGUAUUAAUUUCUCUUCAAGGAGUGGAAGUCUAGAGACUAAUUUCUCUGAAGAGACCCAGCCUGCUCAGAAUGACAUAUUGGCCUUGCUUUUGUGGACAGCAGGAAAACAUAUAUGGCCUAACUCGUGCAGUUUGCACUGGGAGGAGGAAGCAAAUGUUUGCAGUGUUCAUGGAGCAGCUGGAUCCUGCACAGCACGGACUCCAACACAACAGAGCUGUGCAGUGCUGCCGAUCCCGUGUGAUCCCCAGGCUGAUAGCGUGGUUUGAGGCUUUUAAUGUUGUGCUUCCUGGGAAGGAAACCCUUAAAGAUGCUGCGUGGAAGGAAUCUGCAUGCAGUUAACAGCAACCUGUGAAGGAUCAGGUGGUGGUGAUUUUAGUGCCAUGGGCUUGGGGGAUUGACUUGAAACGAUAAAAAGUCAUGUGAGCUCUUGCUUACUGUCGGAUAAGUACAGCUCAAUUUGGCUGAAGUCAAGUGAGUUACUCCGGGACUACCUUAAUGUAAAUGAGAGAAUAAUUUGUCCCCUUAGGACUCUCCUGUGUUGCUUUGCAUUUAUUUCAUUUGAUGAUAUUUUGUGCUCAUGAUUUGCAAGUGUAAACGAGAGGGCACAGGGCAGGACAGCAGGGGGUCAGGGCCCCGCUUUGGGCAUAUCUGGGCUGGAGAGUUUGGUCCCUGUUUGCGUUUAAGCGAGUUGAUUGCUCAUUAACCUGAGUUUGCUAAUGUGUGUAAGUGCUUGUCUAGCUCAUCUACAGGCACUUGUUCCAGGAUGCGACGCCGAACUGGACUGGGUUACGGAGAGGCUAAGCCAGAUGUUAGCUUGCAUUGGCAGUCCCUAAUUUCUGCCUAAGCUCUCCCAGCCAUGGGGCUUCUCAACUGCUGCUGAUUUUGAACUGUGCAAUACUUAAAGGGUUUUUUAGGUACUGCAGCACCAGUCCACAAGCACUCAGGUGCUCUGCCAGACCCUGCGAGGAGCCCUACCCUGGGGAUGAGGUCUUGAGCCUUUGGUCUGAGCAGGUCUCCCUGGGAGCUGGGGGGGGGGGUGAUACGGUGACAGCAUCAUUCCCCACAGAAGAAUGUGAUUCCUCUUGAGAAAUAAAACCCCAGAACCUGACACUGGGCCUGCCAUUCUGCAGUCGGUGUGGCUGUUGUACGUUUGCUCACUGAAGCCUCUGGAGCCAUGGACAAGAGCUGGUUUUGUCCUCAGACCUCAUGCUGACCGAGUAACCUGCAGUGACAGCAUGCAGCAGCGUUUAUGUGAUUAUGGGAUUCAGAGAUGUCUUAAGACAGCUGAUAUCAGUUAAAGACGAGAAGCCAAAUCUCCACAUUCUCUUCUCAUCAGAAUCCACACAUGAAAAUAAAAAUAAUGAUACACCGAGAUCCCUGAAGAAAAGCAAUAAUCCAGUAUUUAAAAUCUAAUCUGCACUUUAAUUAGUGUUGUCUCUUGUAAGGAGAGGGAAAACAAACUGUGUGCAGCCUGACAAGGCACACGCCACCUCUGAGCCUGAUGCAAUUUAAACUGUCAAGUCAUGAAGCACGGGAGGGAAAAUUGGAUGUAAUGAAAUGUAAGGAGAUGGCACCGGCGACAGCAAUGCUGCGAUGCAGCUCGGCUUGCCACAGGAGGCCCUGCUGGAGAAGGCAGGAUUUUUAAAAGUAAAGACCAAAGUGGUGCUGCCCGUAGGACCCCUGCCACAUGUGUGUGCUCGUUCCUCCUGUGUGGGGGAAAGCACGGCUCUGGUUCUCCCUGAGGGCAGGAUGCUGCCUUAUUUAUUUCUGCUGUUUCCCAUCUCUCUUCCAUAUGCAGCACAGGUGUGAGCUAAGUGAUAAUUUUGACCACUGUAAGUUUUUUUCAGAAUAUUUUUUUAAAUAAAAUUUUCAAAAUCA